AGUGAACGCUGGCGGUAGGCCUAACACAUGCAAGUCGAACGGCAGCACAGUAAGAGCUUGCUCUUACGGGUGGCGAGUGGCGCACGGGUGAGGAAUACAUCGGAAUCUACUUUUUCGUGGGGGAUAACGUAGGGAAACUUACGCUAAUACCGCAUACGACCUACGGGUGAAAGCAGGGGAUCUUCGGACCUUGCGCGAUUGAAUGAGCCGAUGUCGGAUUAGCUAGUUGGCGGGGUAAAGGCCCACCAAGGCGACGAUCCGUAGCUGGUCUGAGAGGAUGAUCAGCCACACUGGAACUGAGACACGGUCCAGACUCCUACGGGAGGCAGCAGUGGGGAAUAUUGGACAAUGGGCGCAAGCCUGAUCCAGCCAUACCGCGCGGGUGAAGAAGGCCUUCGGGUUGUAAAGCCCUUUUGUUGGGAAAGAAAAGCAGCAGGUUAAUACCCCGCUGUUCUGACGGUACCCAAAGAAUAAGCACCGGCUAACUUCGUG
rnacentral:rRNA from 1 species